AUUGAACGCUGGCGGCAGGCCUAACACAUGCAAGUCGAACGGUAACAGGAAGACGCUUGCUUCUUUGCUGACGAGUGGCGGACGGGUGAGUAAUGUCUGGGAAACUGCCUGAUGGAGGGGGAUAACUACUGGAAACGGUAGCUAAUACCCCAUAACGUCCCAAGCCCAAAGAGGGGGACCUUCUGGCCCCUUGCCAUCGGAUGUGCCCAGAUGGGAUUAGCUAGUAGGGGGGGGAACGGCUCACCUAGGCGACGAUCCCUAGCUGGUCUGAGAGGAUGACCAGCCACACUGGAACUGAGACACGGUCCAGACUCCUACGGGAGGCAGCAGUGGGGAAUAUUGGACAAUGUGCGCAAGCCUGAUGCAGCCAUGCCGCGUGUAUGAAGAAGGCCUUCGGGUUGUAAAGUACUUUCAGCGGGGAGGAAGGGAGUAAAGUUAAUACCUUUGCUCAUUGACGUUACCCGAAGAAGAAGCACCGGCUAACUCCGUG
rnacentral:rRNA from 1 species